AAAAAAAAAUUCCACUAAAAUAUUUAUAGAGGUUGUUAUGAAUUUACUCAUUGCUGUAGAAAUUUUAUAUGAAUUCCUGAUUUAAAUAUGAAGGGUUCACUCUGCAUGCAUUUCGAAAGAGAAUUGGGUUAAUAUUCCCGAACUGGGACAUGAUGGUGGACAACAAUGUUAGGAAAUAUGGAAAUGUCAUCGGGGGCCUGGGAAGAGUUAUAUUUUAUUUUUAAUGACUUUCCCACCCUGAAAUUGGUUCAACCAGAGAUAGGGUCCAACAUAUGGAAGAGCACCACACAUCUUGCAGUUUUUUGUGCCCCCUCGGUGGCCAUUGAAAAUAUGGAGAACCGAGUACCAUCCAUGCUCAAUCGUACUCAUAUCUGCCUCCUUGGAUUUU
rnacentral:ncRNA from 1 species